GUCCACGGCCAGGCCACCCUGAGCACGCCCGAUCCCGUCUGAUCUCGGGAGCUAAGCAGGGUCGGGCCCGGUUAGUUCUUGGAUGGGAGACCGCCUGGGAAGACCAUGUGCUGUAGACA
rnacentral:rRNA from 1 species